GUCCACGCAGUAAACGAUGAAUACUAGCUGUUGGCGAUAUAAUGUCAGCGGUAAAGCGAAAGUGUUAAGUAUUCCACCUGGGGAGUACGCCGGCAACGGUGAAACUCAAAGGAAUUGACGGGGGCCCGCACAAGCGGAGGAACAUGUGGUUUAAUUCGAUGAUACGCGAGGAACCUUACCCGGGGCUUGAAAGUUAGUGAAUGACUUGGAAACAGGUCAGUCCUUGGGACACGAAACUAGGUGCUGCAUGGUUGUCGU
rnacentral:rRNA from 1 species